AACGAACGCUGGCGGCAUGCCUAACACAUGCAAGUCGAACGAGACCUUCGGGUCUAGUGGCGCACGGGUGCGUAACGCGUGGGAACCUUCCCUUAGGUUCGGAAUAACUCCCCGAAAGGGGUGCUAAUACCGGAUAAUGUCUUCGGACCAAAGAUUUAUCGCCUUUGGAUGGGCCCGCGUUGGAUUAGCUAGUUGGUAGGGUAAAAGCCUACCAAGGCGACGAUCCAUAGCUGGUCUGAGAGGAUGAUCAGCCACACUGGGACUGAGACACGGCCCAGACUCCUACGGGAGGGAGCAGUGGGGAAUAUUGGACAAUGGGCGAAAGGCUGAUCCAGCAAUGCCGCGUGAGUGAUGAAGGCCUUAGGGUUGUAAAGCUCUUUUACCCGGGAUGAUAAUGACAGUACCGGGAGAAUAAGCUCCGGCUAACUCCGUG
rnacentral:rRNA from 1 species